rnacentral:rRNA from 1 species
GACGAACGCUGGCGGCGUGCUUAACACAUGCAAGUCGAACGGAAAGGCCCUGCUUUUGUGGGGUGCUCGAGUGGCGAACGGGUGAGUAACACGUGAGUAACCUGCCCUUGACUUUGGGAUAACUUCAGGAAACUGGGGCUAAUACCGGAUAGGAGCUCCUGCUGCAUGGUGGGGGAUGGAAAGUUUCGGUGGUUGUGGAUGGACUCGCGGCUUAUCAGCUUGUUGGUGGGGUAGUGGCUUACCAAGGCUUUGACGGGUAGCCGGCCUGGGAGGGUGACCGGCCACCUUGGGCCUGAGAUACGGCCCAGACUCCUACGGGAGGCAGCAGUGGGGAAUAUUGCACAAUGGGCGGAAGCCUGAUGCAGCAACGCCGCGUGCGGGAUGACGGCCUUCGGGUUGUAAACCGCUUUCGCCUGUGACGAAGCGUGAGUGACGGUAAUGGGUAAAGAAGCACCGGCUAACUACGUG